rnacentral:rRNA from 1 species
GAUGAACGCUGACAGAAUGCUUAACACAUGCAAGUCGAUGGGGAAGUGGUGCUUGCACCAUGGUAACCAUGGCGGACGGGUGAGUAACACGUAAGGAACUUACCUGCGGGACCGGGAUAACAGCAGGAAACUGCUGACAAGACCGGAUAAGGUCAUUAAGCUGCAUAGCUUAGUGAUGAAAGGAGACGCCUGCGGAGAGCCUUGCGUCCUAUUAGCUAGUUGGAGGGGUAACGGCCCACCAAGGCGAAGAUAGGUAGCCGGCCUGAGAGGGUGGACGGCCACAAGGGGACUGAGAUACGGCCCUUACGCCUACGGGAGGCAGCAGUGGGGAAUAUUGGACAAUGGGGGCAACCCUGAUCCAGCAAUUCUGUGUGCACGAAGACGGUUUUCGGAUUGUAAAGUGCUUUCAGCAGGGAAGAAGGAAGUGACGGUACCUGCAGAAGAAGCGACGGCUAAAUACGUG